GACGAACGCUGGCGGCGUGCCUAAUACAUGCAAGUCGAACGCUUCUUUCCUCCCGAGUGCUUGCACUCAAUUGGAAAGAGGAGUGGCGGACGGGUGAGUAACACGUGGGUAACCUACCCAUCAGAGGGGGAUAACACUUGGAAACAGGUGCUAAUACCGCAUAACAGUUUAUGCCGCAUGGCAUAAGAGUGAAAGGCGCUUUCGGGUGUCGCUGAUGGAUGGACCCGCGGUGCAUUAGCUAGUUGGUGAGGUAACGGCUCACCAAGGCCACGAUGCAUAGCCGACCUGAGAGGGUGAUCGGCCACACUGGGACUGAGACACGGCCCAGACUCCUACGGGAGGCAGCAGUAGGGAAUCUUCGGCAAUGGACGAAAGUCUGACCGAGCAACGCCGCGUGAGUGAAGAAGGUUUUCGGAUCGUAAAACUCUGUUGUUAGAGAAGAACAAGGACGUUAGUAACUGAACGUCCCCUGACGGUAUCUAACCAGAAAGCCACGGCUAAAUACGU
rnacentral:rRNA from 1 species